UACGAAGGGUCCAAGCGUUAUCCGGAUUUAUUGGGUUUAAAGGGUGCGUAGGCGGCUUAUUAAGUCAGUGGUGAAGGCCUGCAGCUUAACUGCAGAACUGCCAUUGAUACUGAUGAGCUUGAAUAUACUUGAGGUUGGCGGAAUGUGUCAUGUAGCGGUGAAAUGCUUAGAUAUGACACAGAACACCGAUUGCGAAGGCAGCUAGCUAAAGUAUGAUUGACGCUGAUGCACGAAAGCGUGGGGAGCAAACAGG
rnacentral:rRNA from 1 species